rnacentral:lncRNA from 1 species
AGUUCAGCGUGCAGGCCCUGUGAAUGGGGGUGCCCCGCGGGGCAGAGAAUACGCGAGUGCAAGUAAACGUCUGGAAACAGCGUGCACGCCUUGGUGGUCAGCAGGUCAGCUGGCUGGAGGAAUCUCCUGCGACUGGCAGCAUUCCAUUUGUGCCUGAUGUUCCUGUAAACUCCAGCCACAACCCCUGUGGGGAGGAGGGGCUGCUGUGGAGAAUGAGAUAUGAAGUUGAAAGCUGAUGGAGUUUCACUCUGUUGUCCAGGCUGGAGUGGCACAAUCUCGGCUCACUGCAACCUCCGCCUCUGAGUUCAAGUGAUUCUCCUGCCUCGGCCUCCCAAGUAGCUGGGGAUUACAGGCACGCACCACCACACCCGGCUAAUUUUUGUAUUUUUAGUAGAGCAGAGGUUUCACCAUGUUGGCCAGGCUGGUCUCGAACUCCUGACCUCAGGUGAUCUGCCCACCUUGGCCUCCCAAAGUAUUGGGAUUACAGGCGAGAUCCACCGUGCCUGGCAUCCAUGAAAUUUUUUGAUGAAAAACUAGUUCAUAAUUUAUAAAGUGUAGAUACAAAUGUACUGCACUCAGCCUUCUUCUAUGGAAGUGAAGAUGAGAGGCUGCGUAUAUCACUCGCGAACCUUCCAGACAACUGAAGAAUAACAAUGAAUACUGCCAUCUUCCCAGAGCUCCAGCACUAAUCUUUGUUAAGGCUUAGAGGAAACCACUUUUCUCAGUUUUGAUGUCUAUGAAUCUGCAAUCACUAAUGAAUGGGGAAAAGUCUGUGAAACAUUUAUUUCCUACAUCAAUGAUUAAAAUUAGCUGUUUUUAGAGCAGAAUGAACAACAUACAAAGCAGGUUGGACGACAUCUAUUUCACACAAUUGCAUCUCAGUUUCUGACCUAGGUAAAAUCCUGCAUAAAUGUAGGAGAAUCCUCUAUAUUAAUAUGUUCUGUAUUCAGGUUUAAGAGAUGUGCAUUUACAUUUACAUUUUAUUAAUUCAUCAACUGAUACUUAAGAAUUAAAACUCUCAAAAUCAGAAGACGAUGCUUUUUGGUAAAGAAAAAAAGAAACAGGCUAUAAGUAAAAACAGGUAUAAAAAUUAACACAAAACCUUUGAGUAAUGUAUUUAUCCUAUAAGCGGAAAAUUCUGAGAAUAAUGGAGGACUGAGGGGAUUAAAAUGCCACGCAGUAGAUGGACUAUUUCAGAUUUUAUAGUCAGGGAAACUGGCUUCGGGAGGACAGCUCUCAAUUCAUGUACUUUACGUAAGAGCAGUUCUUUCUAUAGGCCAUAAAGUUGUAGGUGAUACAAUCAACUGGGUUAUAAAAUAGCUUCUUUUUAGAAUGGAGAUGAUACAAAAAUCAAUUUCUACAACCAUCAUUUCCUCCUGAACACCUCUUUCACUUUCAACCUAAACUUACUCUCCCCUUUGGGAAUUCCCAGUGUAUUUCUUUGAGAUGUCUUCCACAUUAACAGUAGAGCCUACAAAGAACCAACAUGCAGAGGCUACUUGUCAAAGGGCACUUUCUGUAGGUAGUCUAAAAGAACACAAUUAUACACAUACACAAACGUGUACAGGUAUACGCAAAAGGGAAAAGGAGAUGCAAGAGUACUGUACUACUGCUUUAACAAAUGCUCUCACCCAAUCCACCUUAUCCAUCUUACAGGAUAGAAACACUAUUUAGGGUUUAAAAUACGCAAAAAAACAUUUUUUUUAAAUAUAUAAACCAUCUAUGGAAGCAUAUUUUGCCUUCUGUUAUGACCCUCAUCAUUCCUCAACUCAUAUUCUAAAAGCCUGAGAGGUGAAAAUCUUCUGAACAGCUGAACCACCCACAGAACCUGAAAAUUAUUAUACAUUUUGCACAUGAUUAACCUAUAUUCACCACUGAGGUUUAACCAAGAACCAGAUUCACAUAGGUAAUAGGGGUCACAACUACUUUUUCAUAAAAUAUACCCUCCUACUGGCCAGGUGAGGUGGCUCACGCCUGUAAUUCCAGCACUUCAGAUUGCUUGAGCCCAGGAAUUCAAGACCAGUCUGGGCAACAUGGCAAAACCCUGUCUCUACUAAAAAUACAAAAAUUAACUGGGUGUGGUGGCACAUGCCUGUAGUCCCAGCUACUUGGGGAGGCUGAGGUGGGAUGGCUUGAGCCUGGAAGGUGAAGGUUGCAGUGAGCCAAGAUCACGACUUUGUACUUAAGUCUGGGCAACAGAGCGAGACCCUGUCUCAAAAAAAAAAAAAAAAAAAAAAAAAAAAUCUAUGCAUCCAUCUAUCUAUACAAACACACAUCCUCCUACUUUACAUAAAUGUACAAUUCCAUGUCUAUUCUUAGCAUGUUUUCAGUUAAAAUUAGAUUACUGAUGUUUACAAGAAGCACGGUCAAAUGAUUUUUUUCAUUUUAUGUCAAUGUUUACACGCCAACCCUCCAGAAGGUUGGGACAAUGGGAAGAGGGCAUUGGACUGGAUGUAAAGCCUGAGGCCAGGGGUCUAGUUUUGUUAGGGUCUAGAUUCUCACCCCAGAAUCUUACCCCCUCAGGCAAUCACUCAAAUUGAAAUAUCACUUCUAUUGGUCCUGAUACUCUACUUCAGUAGUUAUCUUACUUCUUCCUUUGAAUGUAAACCAUUUAUAGCUAAGUAGAGUAUAUUUUAGUAUAAGAACACAGUGAAGGCUGGGUGCGGUGGCUCACACCUGUAAUCCCAGCACUUUGGGAGGCCGAGGCGGGCGGAUCACGAGGUCAAGAGCUCGAGACCAGCCUGACCAACAUAGUGAAACCCCGUCUCUACUAAAAAUAUAAAAAUUAGCUGGGCGUAGUGGCGCGCGCCUGUAAUCCCAGCUACUUGGGAGGCUGGGGCAGGAGAAUCGCUUGAACCUGGGAGGCGGAGGUUGCAGUGAGUGGAGAUCGCAACACUGCAUUCCAGCCUGGGCGACAGGGCGAGACUCCGUCUCAAAAAACAAACAAACAAAAAACACAUAGUGAAGACCAAACAAAAUUUCAUCUGUACUAAUAAUGACUCACGGUGGGCCAGAGCUCAAGUCAGUAUGUAAUAAGAAAGCAAAGGGAAAAAAAAAAUCAUUUACUUCACUAAAACUUCUGUUGUUUCUUUAAAACUCUAAACAAAAUUGACCCUAUAAGUAAAGAUAUUCAUUCUUAUCAUUUUUUAACAAGCAAAUUUUAAUAAUGCCUUUUAUUUCUAUACAAAGCAAUGUAACUUUCU